UACGUAGGGUGCAAGCGUUAAUCGGAAUUACUGGGCGUAAAGCGUGCGCAGGCGGUUUUGUAAGUCUGACGUGAAAUCCCCGGGCUCAACCUGGGAAUUGCGUUGGAGACUGCAAGGCUAGAAUCUGGCAGAGGGGGGUAGAAUUCCACGUGUAGCAGUGAAAUGCGUAGAGAUGUGGAGGAACACCGAUGGCGAAGGCAGCCCCCCUGGGUCAAGAUUGACGCUCAUUGCACGAAAGCGUGGGGAGCAAACAGG
rnacentral:rRNA from 1 species